rnacentral:rRNA from 1 species
UACGAAGGGGGCUAGCGUUGUUCGGAAUUACUGGGCGUAAAGCGCGCGUAGGCGGUGAUCUUUGUCAGAGGUGAAAGCCCGGGGCUCAACUCCGGAAUUGCCUUUGAAACGGGAUCGCUAGAGUCCGAGAGAGGAUGGCGGAAUUCCUAGUGUAGAGGUGAAAUUCGUAGAUAUUAGGAAGAACACCGGUGGCGAAGGCGGCCAUCUGGCUCGGUACUGACGCUCAGGCGCGAAAGCGUGGGGAGCAAACAGGG